ACACAGAGAGGUAGACAUCACCCAUAGUGAACAUUUUUCUUCUUGUUCCUAAAAUUGGAAUGAAAUGAGGAAUAACACAGAGAAGUAAGAAACAGAAGGAAAGAAGUAAGCUGAAGGAAACGUGGGAGGGAGAAGAUUUAAAAAGAAACUAAAAGAAAAAAGAAAAAAAAGAAGCAUAUCCAACUAGAUGACAGUUCAUCACAAACGACAACGGGCGGGCUGCUGAUGUAGGAAAGUUCCGAGGGAGGAAACGGUGCUAUAACCACAGGCAUUCACAGCCUACAUGUGUGAGUGAGUACAAGAUAGACUCUUGACCUUCUUCUAAAAGCAGCUGUCUCCUUGGGAAACUACAAGAAUGAGUUUACAUUUUCAACAUGUUUUCUUUUCUUUAAGGCUCGAGUUACCUGAAUUCUCCAUUUGUAUUUGAAACUUAUUUUAAUCAGUGUUCUUCAAGGAGGUCAUGCACACUGGAUUCCAUGGUUGGACAUGCAAGUAAGGGAAGUGACUCAAGACAGCAGAAAGUAUUCAGACACAUACCAACAGGGAUGCAUCCAUGUAAUAAAGAGGAAAGACACACACCAACAGGGAUGCAUCCAUGUAAUAAAGAGGAAAGACACACACCAACAGGGAUGCAUCCAUGUAAUAAAGAGGAAAGACACACACCAACAGGGAUGCAUCCAUGUAAUAAAGAGGAAAGACACACACCAACAGGGAUGUAUCCAUGUAAUAAAGAGGAAAGACACAUACCAACAGUGAUGUAUCCAUGUAAUAAAGAGGAAAGACACACACCAACAGGGAUGCAUCCAUGUAAUAAAGAGGAAAGACACACACCAACAGGGAUGCAUCCAUGUAAUAAAGAGGAAAGGAGAAGGAGCUUUGAGCCAAGAAGCUCAUGACCUGAGAGGGA
rnacentral:lncRNA from 1 species